UGGGCUUGGAGUUGGGCCCUGAAUGGCGCUUUGCUGUGAAUCUCCGCGGGGAGGCUCUUCCAACCAGGGGCUGAGCUUCUGCGCUGUGGAGAAGCCAGGCUCCUGAUGUCUUAUUGGGGGCCAUAUCUAGAGUGAUGCCCUAGUUCGCGUGGCUGAAGAUGGCUUGCCACCCUACCUGCUGAUUGCAUUCUGACUGGAUGGGUCAUCAGUUAAGGAAGUUGAAACCUACCACCGGACACGUGCUUUAAGAUCUUUGAGAAAAGAUGCACAGAAUUCUUCAGAUUCUAGUUUUGAGAAGAAUGUGGAAAUAACGGAGCAACUUGCUAAUGGCAGGCAUUUUACAAGGCAGUUGGCCAGACAGCAGGCUGAU
rnacentral:lncRNA from 10 species